GAUGAACGCUAGCGGCAGGCUUAACACAUGCAAGUCGAGGGGUAUAGUAGCAAUACUAGAGACCGGCGCACGGGUGCGUAACGCGUAUGCAAUCUACCUUUUGCAGAGGGAUAGCCCAGAGAAAUUUGGAUUAAUACCUCAUAGUAUAAUGAGUUGGCAUCAACUUAUUAUUAAAGUCACAACGGCAAAAGAUGAGCAUGCGUCCCAUUAGUUAGUUGGUAAGGUAACGGCUUACCAAGACUACGAUGGGUAGGGGUCCUGAGAGGGAGAUCCCCCACACUGGUACUGAGACACGGACCAGACUCCUACGGGUGGCUG
rnacentral:rRNA from 1 species